rnacentral:rRNA from 1 species
CGAAAGCCUGACGGAGCAACGCCGCGUGAGGGAUGAAGGCCUCUGGGCUGUAAACCUCUUUUCUCAAGGAAGAAGAUCUGACGGUACUUGAGGAAUAAGCCACGGCUAAUUCCGUGCCAGCAGCCGCGGUAAUACGGGAGUGGCAAGCGUUAUCCGGAAUUAUUGGGCGUAAAGCGUCCGCAGGCGGCCCUUCAAGUCUGCUGUUAAAAAGUGGAGCUUAACUCCAUCAUGGCAGUGGAAACUGUUGGGCUUGAGUGUGGUAGGGGCAGAGGGAAUUCCCGGUGUAGCGGUGAAAUGCGUAGAUAUCGGGAAGAACACCAGUGGCGAAGGCGCUCUGCUGGGCCAUAACUGACGCUCAUGGACGAAAGCCAGGGGAGCG